rnacentral:rRNA from 1 species
CGGCAACGGAUAUCUCGGCUCUCGCAUCGAUGAAGAACGUAGCGAAAUGCGAUACUUGGUAUGAAUUGCAGAAUCCCGUGAACCAUCGAGUCUUUGAACGCAAGUUGCGCCCGAAGCCAUCAGGCCGAGGGCACGCCUGCCUGGGCGUCACACGUCGUUGCCCCC